rnacentral:rRNA from 1 species
UCCGUAGGUGAACCUGCGGAGGGAUCAUUACCGAGUUUACAACUCCCAAACCCCUGUGAACAUACCAAUUGUUGCCUCGGCGGAUCAGCCCGCUCCCGGUAAAACGGGACGGCCCGCCAGAGGACCCCUAAACUCUGUUUCUAUAUGUAACUUCUGAGUAAAACCAUAAAUAAAUCAAAACUUUCAACAACGGAUCUCUUGGUUCUGGCAUCGAUGAAGAACGCAGCAAAAUGCGAUAAGUAAUGUGAAUUGCAGAAUUCAGUGAAUCAUCGAAUCUUUGAACGCACAUUGCGCCCGCCAGUAUUCUGGCGGGCAUGCCUGUUCGAGCGUCAUUUCAACCCUCAAGCCCUCGGGUUUGGUGUUGGGGAUCGGCGAGCCCUUGCGGCAAGCCGGCCCCGAAAUCUAGUGGCGGUCUCGCUGCAGCUUCCAUUGCGUAGUAGUAAAACCCUCGCAACUGGUACGCGGCGCGGCCAAGCCGUUAAACCCCCAACUUCUGAAUGUUGACCUCGGAUCAGGUAGGAAUACCCGCUGAACUUAAGCAUAUCAAUAAGCGGAGGA